rnacentral:lncRNA from 1 species
UUUUUUUUUUUUUUUUUUUGAGACGGAGCCUCGCUCUGUUGUUGAGACUGGACUGCAGUGGCGCGAUCUCGGCUCACUGCAAGAUCCGCCUCCCGGGUUCCUGCCAUUCUCCUGCCUCGGCCUCCCAAGUAGCUGGGACUACAGGCGCCCACCAGGACGCCUGGCUAAUUUGUUGUAUUUUUUAGUAGAGACGGGGUUUCCCCGUGUUAGCCAGGAUAGUCUUGAUCUCCUGACUUUGUGAUCCGCCCGUCUCGGCUUCCCAAAGUGCUGGGAUUACAGGCAUGAACCACUGCGCCAGGCCCAAUUUUGUUUGUUUGUUUUGUUUUGUUUUGUUGUUUUGGGAAAGGGUGGCGUGGAGAAGACUGGGAAACAACCAGUGGUCACCAGAGCUGUAGCACCUCCUUCACCUCUGAGCUCUGGGGCUGGGAACCCCAGGCUUCGGGGACCACUGUGGAGGACGCAGGUGGCCCCCUCUUUCCUGACAUCUCAGGAGAGGGAGCGGCAACCGGUUAGGGGAAGAAAAGAACAGGAAGGUUAUACAGCCAGGUGGGGAAGGGGCCAACUCCCUGAAAAACCCCUUCCCAGAGUCUUCUCAAGCGCNNNNNNNNNNUUCGCACAGAUGGUAAAAUACAGGCUCAGAGAAAUUAAUGAUUUGUGCCUGGUCACACAGCCAACAAAUGGCAGAGAUGGGACUUCAACUCUGGGCAACUGCACUCUGCCAUCCUUCCUGUAGAACUCUGAGGAACUGAGAGUCUUGCAUCUUGGAGGAUGUUCCAAUCAAUUUUUUUUUUUUUUUUUUUUUUUUUUUGAGACGGAGUCUCGCUCUGUUGUUGAGACUGGACUGCAGUGGCGCGAUCUCGGCUCACUGCAAGAUCCGCCUCCCGGGUUCCUGCCAUUCUCGAUCCGCCCGUCUCGGCUUCCCAAAGUGCUGGGAUUACAGGCAUGAACCACUGCGCCAGGCCCAAUUUUGUUUGUUUGUUUUGUUUUGUUUUGUUGUUUUGGGAAAGGGUGGCGUGGAGAAGACUGGGAAACAACCAGUGGUCACCAGAGCUGUAGCACCUCCUUCACCUCUGAGCUCUGGGGCUGGGAACCCCAGGCUUCGGGGACCACUGUGGAGGACGCAGGUGGCCCCCUCUUUCCUGACAUCUCAGGAGAGGGAGCGGCAACCGGUUAGGGGAAGAAAAGAACAGGAAGGUUAUACAGCCAGGUGGGGAAGGGGCCAACUCCCUGAAAAACCCCUUCCCAGAGUUCUUCUUCAAGCGCAGGGUACCCAAGAGUCAAGGCCCCGCCCCCUUUCCAGUGGCCCCUUUUCUACUUAGGUGACCGCUCCUGGCUGGGAUGGGAGGUAGAUGGACCGGGGGGUGGAGGGGGCGGAGGAGGAGGGGAAGGGAGAGGCAGUGGAUGAAGGACAAUGGAAGAGAUGACAUCCCACUUGGCUCAUUCAUCCCAUUCAGGUCCCCAAGCCCCCACCUGGACUGCCAGUGCCAACCUCAGAGGGAGGAAGAGGGAGCUCGGCUUAGAAGGCUGAGGCCCUGCCCCCUGGGCCACACCAAUCGUGUGGCCUUCCUUCUCCCCACGGAAGGCCAGACCAUGGACACCUCCUGAGCUGGAUGUCAUCCCCCAUCUCCACCCUCUUUUCUUUUUCUUUCUUUCUUUCUUUUUUUUUUUGAGAUGGAGUCUCGCUCUGUCGUGCAGGCUGGAGUGCAGUGGCGUGAUCUCUGCUCACCGCAACCUCCCGCUCCCAGGUUCACUCCAUUCCCCUGCAAGCGCCCGCCACCAAGGCCGGAUAACUUUCCGUAUUUUUAGUAGAGACGGGGUUUCACCGUGUUAGCCAGGAUGGUCUCGA